GCGUGCCUGCUUGUCCACUUGUUUCUUUCGAAAUUUGUUGUUGCUCACGAAAUGCAGUAGCGGAGCAGCUUUCCUCUCAUUAAUUAAUUAAGAGAACCACCGUGCGUAUAGGCUAGUUGAUUCCAGAUCAACACCAUUUUUCUUUCGGCUACUGCUUUCUGAAUCCUUGCAACGAAGCAUUCACCUUAAGUUCUUGCCGUUGCUGGACAUCCUGGAGACCCGUGUGCGUGCAGUUCGCCGCCUCCGUGAGCUGCUCACCACGAAAUUCCCACCGGGGACAUUCCCUGUCAAGUUGAGCUCAGCUGCUGCAGUUGGAGACAUCUCUGGAGGCGAUGAAGGGGAAGCUUGCGGAUGCCGCACGAUUGGCCUCGGAGUAUGAUGGCAUCUUCUUGCAAAGCUUGACCAGAUUGAAGGCUCCAAGUCUCCUGUCAACAGCAAGUCCCCCUCUGGAGACUAAGAGAAAGCUUAAAGGAAUUUUCGCACGAAACAGUACUCAGGAAAAACUCUUGACUGUAGUAUCACGAAAAACAUGGGUUGUGGAGAAGAAGAUAUUCACUGUGCAAAGCUGCAUCCUCUGGCUGUCCCUGUCCCUGUCCUGCGCUUCAAGAACUGAUGAACUGAUGAACAAGAAUAGUCUUGAAUCUUGAUGAAGGGAGGAGGAACAUGUGGACAGUUUUUCAUCAAGAAGAGAAGAAGCAUGCAUGGUGUCAAAAGUGGUCAAGAAAGGCAUCCAAUGAUGCUUCCUAAGAUGGCCUUAUUCCUCCCCAAGUUAGGGCAAAGCCCCUCCACUGUCAAUCAACAAAAGAAGAUUGUGAGGCUAGGGAACACAAGAUGAACACAAGAUGUUCGAUGAGAUGCCGGUACGGAUGGCGCGCGGGAGCUGUUUGAUGUGAUGCCAGAGAAGGAUGUGGUUUCCUGGACGUUAUGCUGAAACACAAGAUGAACAUUUCUUUUAGGGAACACAAGAUGAACACAAGCUGGACGCUACGCUGAAACUCUUGAUCUAUUCAGGUCAAUGCAGAGCGAGAGCAGUGUCCAGAGCAAGGCAACUUAUGGAGUGCAAGUCAUUGGCCUCAACACACAGCAGGCAGAACUGGGAACCUAGCAGCAAGAACUGGGAACUUGCAUGACGCCGGCGAAGGACGGGGUCCAGCCAUACGCCUGGGAGAGCGGGACAAUGGCGACGGACAUGACGACGGCCUGAGCCUCGCCUCCGCCGGCCGCGGAGGCUGCAGGAGGCGCAGAAGCGGGACAGGUCCUGGCCAGAGGCCGGAGCGGCUGGAGAGGAGCAGAGCACAGGAGGCGGCGCGGCUGCCAUGGAAGCGGAGGCAGUGGUUGGGCGCGGGUGGGGCGACGGCGGGCGAAGAGGAAGGGAGGCAGAAGUGAGAGGUGCCAGUAAAGAAGAGGGCGAGCUCACCUCCCUGACGAGGAUACUCCGGCGCGGCCUUGCUCCAGCCUUCCGUCGGCGAGCUCGACCCUUCCGUCGACGAGGUCGCCUGGGCAGGGGAAGGGGAAGCGUCCGGCGCUGGGAUCUCUCCGCGGGAAAGGGCGGAGCCACGGACAGCAGCGGCGCGCGGUCGCCGGGGAGUAGCGGCGCGCGGUCGCCGGGGAGCAGCGACGGGCGGUCGCCAGGACGCGAGGAACACGACGGGAGGACCUGAUUGCAAAAGUUUUCAAACUUCUAAGGGGUUUUCUGUAAAUUUUAAUUAAAACGCCCGCCCGCCCAGUUUUUCGGGUCGGAGGGAG